rnacentral:rRNA from 1 species
GAUGAACGCUGGCGGCGUGCCUAAUACAUGCAAGUCGAGCGAACAGACGAGGAGCUUGCUCCUUCGACGUUAGCGGCGGACGGGUGAGUAACACGUAGGUAACCUACCUAUAAGACUGGGAUAACUUCGGGAAACCGGAGCUAAUACCGGAUAAUAUUUCGAACCGCAUGGUUCGAUAGUGAAAGAUGGCUUUGCUAUCACUUAUAGAUGGACCUGCGCCGUAUUAGCUAGUUGGUAAGGUAACGGCUUACCAAGGCAACGAUACGUAGCCGACCUGAGAGGGUGAUCGGCGACACUGGAACUGAGACACGGUCCAGGCUCCUACGGGAGGCAGCAGUAGGGAAUCUUCCGCAAUGGGCGAAAGCCUGACGGAGCAACGCCGCGUGAGUGAUGAAGGUCUUCGGAUCGUAAAACUCUGUUAUUAGGGAAGAACAAACGUGUAAGUAACUGUGCACGUCUUGACGGUACCUAAUCAGAAAGCCACGGCUAACUACGUG